CAGUAGCCGCGGUAAUACGAAGGGGGCUAGCGUUGUUCGGAUUAACUGGGCGUAAAGGGCGCGUAGGCGGGUUUUUAAGUCAGAGGUGAAAUCCCAAGGCUCAACCUUGGAACUGCCUUUGAUACUGGAAGUCUUGAGUCCGGGAGAGGUGAGUGGAACUGCGAGUGUAGAGGCGAAAUUCGUAGAUAUUCGCAAGAACACCAGUGGCGAAGGCGGCUCACUGGCCCGGUACUGACGCUGAGGCGCGAAAGCGUGGGGAGCAAACAGGAUUAGAUACCCCGUAGUCCCUGUCUCUUAUACA
rnacentral:rRNA from 1 species